CAGUAAUAAUCAAAGAAAAAAAAAAUCAAUGUUUCCAAAAAUCAUAUCACCAAGUAAGAUUAAAAUUAUGUUUGUUAUGCCAUUUAAAAUCUUCAAACGCGUCUUAAAAAAUGGGCCUAGAGCUAAAUGUAUGUAUAUUUCAUUCUCAUCUCAAAUUGCUGCGUCUUCUCUUCCUCCUGGCUGCCACAGUAAGCCGUCUUCCCCCUAAACUCAAUCAGAAAGGUUUAGAGGGCUGAUUAGAUUAACAUAAGCAGCUGGGAGUAGUUAAUGGUCUUUGCUGGUGUUGAUAAGUAACACUGACUAAUUGGCCCGGUCCAGCCGCAGAGAGCCGACACCGGCUCACAGGAACAGACUGUGGCGUCUGAGACAAACAGCGCUGGAGCAGCACCGUGUGUGAGAUGCUGAGGCUUGGAUGCGAUGAAGAGCCACUGGAUGUUCUUCGCCAAGACACGGACUUUUUACUGAAGGACGGACGGGAUUUGAUGAUACUUUAGCUUCCUGAUCAGCAUCAACAUGAAUCGGCACGCCUUCGCGCCCCUCCCAGCCAGACCCCCGGCCUAUGCACCGAUGGGAUACCAGGGCAGAAAUUUCGGCCUGCAGCCUCCCGGACAAACACAGAGGCCGUACUUUGACAGUGCCUUUCACCGAGCAGCACAGAAGUCCUCCACAUCUCCAAUAAAAAGAAGCAGCAGUUGUCUACAUGUCGAUAUUGCAUGGAGGAUUUAUUACCACAAACUAAAGAAAAUGCAUCAAAAAUCCCAGUCUUCCUCAGGAGACGGUGAUGAAAUUUCCAAUCACAAACCUGCUAGACUCAGAACAGCCUGAAGAACCCCAGCCCUCCUGCACACGCCCAUAUUUAGACUCUGCGUUUAGAAGCACAGCAGGAAGAGAAAAAGCAAUAAAUGCCGGCCAUAACCCGAGUGAUCAACCAGAACCUCACCCAUCAUCUGCACCUGCUUUCCACCACCCGAAUGAGAAAGCGGAUCUGGGGAGACCCAAGAGCUGCCAAACUAACCCGACGAGCGGCUCCCUCGACAGGAAGCGGCACCUGGAGGGCCGCAGCUCCGGCGGCGUGAAGAGGCUGACGCGGGAAACGGAAGACGAGUGGCCUGACCCUUCUUUAUUCACCGCACCUUGUACAGACCCUUCCACACGCAGGAUGCAGGCGCAGCCAUCGAGCAUCAGCAGGCUGUACGCGUCCUGUCGCUGCAGAUGCGUCUCUUUCCCAGGUGCAGAGCUGCGUCCCUAUCAAACUGCAUCAUGGGAGCAAAGGUGGAGCCACAGAGUGGAUGUCCAUCUGAGGCAGAAAGCCUUCAAAGAGUAUUUCUGUGAGCAGUUUCCGCCUACGUUGGCACCUCAUGUUUAUUCUUCUCUGGACUGUUUACCUUCCAGACCAGAACACGCUCCCGCCGUUUCUGUCCCUGCUGUAGAGCAUAACUCUCAUUCUGGAUUUUUUCCUCUGGACUUUUAAAAACCUGAGAGCCGAUCGUUUCUACAACAGAGAAUGCUUAUAAUCCUUAAUCUGCUUUGUAAACGUUUUGAUGACAAAUGUCAUUCCUCUAAAAACCAGGUUUCUACAACGGUAUAUUAAGGCAAUAGAGCCAAAAAACUCACCUUUUUUUUAAAUAGUCAGAAAUUUUCUAGAAAAAGUUGGGAAUUUGCUACAAAACAAACUUGAAAAUUUCUG